rnacentral:lncRNA from 1 species
CUCCGCAAUUUGGGAUGGGGGGAAAAAACCCCCUCAUAAUUUAUUUGACUCAGACAAUGCAAAAUGAAUCUCUAGUGUUGAUUCAUUGCUUCUCUUCAUCCACCAGCUUGAACCAAGAGAGGAUGGCUGGAGGAUCAAGCCCGUUGCUUCCUUCAGUGGUAUUACACUAAUAUUCUAGUAGUGCAAUGAUGCUUCGGAAUACCAGUUGCUGGAAGCCACAGGAGUGGAGAGGGCUCUUGUGCUCGGAUCCUACUUGUGGGCUUCCCUUUGGGGCAUCUGACUGACCACUGUGAGAACACAAUGCUGGACUAGAUGGGCCAGUGACCUGAUCCAAUUGCAAACUCGACUUACAUUCUUAUUUCCUCCUAUAGUCUGAAGGUAUAUAUAUUCUGCUGUUUAGUACUCAGGCUGAUGCAAUCCUACAUUGCCAUUGGCUCCCUGAGUUUCAUUUAGGGCAGAAGAAAUUAUGGAGUUUUUUGUUUUUGAGAUUGGGGAAGUUUCUUGUACAAAGAAAAGCAAGCAAUAAAAAAGAGAGGCAAAGUUGUCUGAGAUAAUUUAGCUUAAAUUGUUGGGCUUUUUAAAAGAGUGCUUGAUCAUCAUGGGAAAAAACAUUUUUAUGCACAGAAAACUUUAGGGAGGGCAUCGUUGUAAAUAGCAAUUAAUGCUAAUAGAUUCUGCCGGGCUGCUCUUGAGCAUUAAAGGCAGGAAGAGAAACUUACGAGCUUAUUUUUAAUUCAUUUGCAGCUGGCAAUGUUGCAAGUUGUGGUAGGGAGAUGAUGCCACUUUUAAAACAGUUGGUGAGUGAAAAAUUGGGACAUAGCUUCUACUUCAAAAGAGAUACUUAGCGGAAUUUGGGGAAGGGAGAAUACACUAGUGAGAGCUGCUUACACUUAACCAUCAGUUAUCGGCAGAGAAGAAUUAUGGAAAAUAUCACACAAUAUGACUAAGAAUGACUUAUAGAUAGCACAGUUUAUUGUGCAACCUAAUUAUAAUGCAUAUUAUUAUGUUUAACUAGUGUUCAUAAUUAACUUACUCAGUUUAUACCCCUCAACUGCCCCAAUUUAAGCGGGACAUCCUGAAAUUACUGAAGCCAUCCCAACUACUGACUGGAUCCAGCAAUGUCCUGGUCUUUGGUCUGGUGCUCUGGCAUGUGUCAGCUGGCUCAUGCCAGAAAACUAGACCAAAAUACUCUUUUUUUUGUCUCAUGCUCUUAUGUGAAUCAGCUGGCUUAGGCCAGAGUGCCAAAUCGGGUCCUCCCUUAAAGAGGACACGUAUUGCGGUGAGACCUGGACAACUGGCACCCUGUGUUGUGGGUGGGUACGUUUGGACAGCCACAACACCCGAAUGGUAGGUCCCUCAAAGCUGUGUGCAACCUGGCCAAUGGGACGCAGUCUAAAUGGUUCGAUGGACCUAUUUAUGCCCAUGCACAUGACCCAGAGCUCCCUCUUUCAGCGCUUGAAUUCAGAACACCAACAUUGUGUCCUCUGCAAACCGAGAGAGGGAGAGAGAGAGCGAUUUACCUUUGGUGAAUCAUCCUGGUGAUAUCUUUUCGUUAGCCUUUCUUUUACCCUCUUUCCCCCCUCACUUUAAUUUCAGGUUAAUCCUCCCCACCCCUGCCCUACCCUGACUAAGAGGGGCCUUUGCCCCCACGGGGCCUCGGCCCCUUAGUGCCCUUUCGGAGCUUUUCACUCUUUUAAUUUUCCUGGAUUUUUCCCUCUUGCGGGGCUUGCUGCGGAUUCCAAUUUUAUAUAUGUGGCUUCGUGCAGCGUUUGCUGAUCCCUCAUGAGCUGGCUGAUCCGGAGUGCGGCGUUGCCGUGGCCUGAGAAAACCUCUGCUCAGCGGUUCGUCUUAUUAAUCUUGGAGGGGAUUUUGCCCACGGGGCUUUGGCUGUUGGCACUUUUGCCUGUGGAGUUUCCUCCAUUUCCCUGGGUUCUCCGAGCAGCAAUUUUGAGCAGUUAUAGCUGCGUCUUUCAUUUAAAGAGCCUUGAACUGAGUUUAGUGGGGGUGAAAAUAUUUUGAGUUCGCUUGUUUUGUUCGCUGUUCCGCCUUCUGAGAGUUCCCCCUCUGUAAGCCUGGUGAACUCUGCACCCCCUCCCAAUUUUAAGGCUGGUUGGGGAAACUGCUGGGGCCGGCGGCCAUUUUCUCCAGCUUAAUUUGGCGGGAGCGCCAUUUGCACUGGUGAUAGUGCAAUUUCUGAUGGGAGCACGAUCUUGUUUUGGUGGGAGCGCCAUCUUAAUGGGUUAAGCCUUAAUUAUUUAUUUUGUAUUGUGGGAGAGCUUAUCGAGAUGCCAGUUAAAAGGAACCCUAGUCCUGCUCACCCUUCAAAAAGGGUAAUUAGAGGCCCGCCUCAGUCGCAGUGUUCAGUGAAAGCCCCAGUAGUUCCUCAGCAAACACUGGAUCGUCUGGGUUCUAUUGUUGCCAAUAUUGGCUCAGACCCUGCGGCCUUGACAAGGUUGAAUUCACAGCUUGAGUCAUUGGCUCAGCAGUUUGGGAGGCAGCCUGGCCCCUCCUCUUCUUCUACUGUUUAUGAAGUCCAUGGUCCCUCUGAUGCAAGUGAAGGGAGUGAGGCUUUUGAUUCUUCUGGGGCUUUGUUUUCCCAGCUGCAGUUUUCCAGGAUUCCAGUCCCAACUAGUCCCAGGGGUCGACCCAGGAGUAUGGGUGGCACGGUUCAGCAGGCCUUUCAGCCCAGACUGCCACGUUUGCAGUCGGCACCCCCGGGUUCUGGGAGUUCAGGGCUUCCAGCAGCGCAGCUUAUGGGGAGAGGAACUUCUUCUCAGCCUAGCACCUCACAUGUUUUUAGUUCUGUUCAGGUGCAGUCGGUCCAUCCGAGGGAGACGUUCAGCAUCCACUCUUCUGAGGAGGAUCUUCCAGGGCCCAGGGUCCCUUCAUCCGGUGGCAAGGGGCAGAAGAGUCGUCGCUCCAAGCACAGGGCCAAGAGGCGGAAGGAUGGCGAUACCUCCUCUUCUACAGGUAUGUCUUCUGAGACAUCUGAGGAUGAGUCAGAUGUGACCCUGGGUCUUUAUUGGGACCACGGCGAAGGGUCUUCGGGCCUUCCCAGGUGGGCUUGGCAGCGCAGAGGGAGGGCAUCAUUGUAAAUAACAAUUAAUGCUAAUAGAUUCUGCCAGGCUGCUCUUGAGCAUUAAAGGCAGGAAGAGAAACUUACGAGCUUAUUUCUAAUUCAUUUGCAGUUGGCAAUGUUACAAGCUGUGGUAGGGAGAUGAAGCCAAUGGUGUGGGCGAAGGUGUCUGCGGAAGGCACGCCUGUGGCGAUGGUGGUGCAGCUCGGCGAGAACGAUUUGCCGGAAGCUCCCAGCUUGAGCCUGCAGACCCGCAUGCAGGAGGACUUGAAAGAGUUGAAGGCAGUUAUUCCUGGACUCUAGAUAUUUUGGUCGCAGCUGUUGCAGCGACGUGACUGGCGAGGAAGCCGAUGCCCAGCUGCCACCAAGAGGGCCAGGAGGCGCGUGCAGAGCGCAGUGGCCAAGAAGGUUCUGGCCUUGGGCAGGAUGGUGAUCCAUCACCCGGGCAUUACCUUCCGUGUUGCGUCCCUUGACAGGCUUGAUGGUCUUCAUCUGUCUGUGAUUGGGAUUGAUUUAUGGCUGACCUCCGUGUCAGCGGGGUUAAGGGAUUGGUUACAGGUCUGAGUGGCUGCCGGCAAGCGCAGGGCUUGUGUGGCAGAUAGGCUCUGGUUCUGGUGAUAGGAAUGGGAGAACGCUCUUGCCAUCCCUAUGUGAAGGUUAUUCCAUUAAAGGAAUCCAGGGACUCAACUGGUUUGGUCAACCCCUGUGAUGGGGUUGUGCCCGUGCCUGAGUCUAGGGGGACAUUUGGGUGGCGUAGAUAGCCCAUGCCCAGCUUUCCGCUUAUCCAGGUGUUCACCCUAGGCUGACCUAUGCUGGUGCCCUGGGUCAAUGCUACCUGCAUAGCAGGGAGCUAGUCAAACCAGAGCCUCUGCAACCAGUCACUUUCUGUAAUCAAUAAAGCUGUGGCCUAAAU